CCUACGGGUGGCAGCAGUCGAGAAUUAUUCACAAUGGGGGAAACCCUGAUGGUGCGACGCCGCGUGGGGGAAUGAAGGUCUUCGGAUUGUAAACCCCUGUCAUGUGGGAGCAAAUUAAAAAGAUCGUACCACAAUAGGAAGAGACGGCUAACUCUGUGCCAGCAGCCGCGGUAAUACAGAGGUCUCAAGCGUUGUUCGGAAUCACUGGGCGUAAAGCGUGCGUAGGCUGUUUCGUAAGUCGUGUGUGAAAGGCGCGGGCUCAACCCGCGGACGGCACAUGAUACUGCGAGACUAGAGUAAGGGAGGGGGAACCGGAAUUCUCGGUGUAGCAGUGAAAUGCGUAGAUAUCGAGAGGAACACUCAUGGCGAAGGCGGGUUCCUGGACAUUAACUGACGCUGAGGCACGAAGGCCAGGGGAGCGAAAGGGAUUAGAUACCCCUGUAGUC
rnacentral:rRNA from 1 species